GCGCCCGUAGCUCAGCCGGAUAGAGCGAUAGUUUCCUAAACUAUGCGUCGGGGGUUCGAGUCCCCCCGUGGCGCGCCA
rnacentral:tRNA from 1 species